UACGUAGGGGGCGAGCGUUGUCCGGAGUUACUGGGCGUAAAGCGCUUGUAGGCGGUCUACCAAGUUUGGGGUGACAGUUGCCGACUUAAUCGGCAAAGUGCCUCAAAGACUGGCGGACUUGAGGGCCACAGAGGGACAUGGAACUCCAGGUGUAGUGGUGAAAUGCGUAGAUAUCUGGAAGAACACCAAAGGCGAAGGCAGUGUCCUGGGUGGUCGCUGACGCUGAGAGGCGAAAGCCAGGGGAGCGAACGGG
rnacentral:rRNA from 1 species